rnacentral:rRNA from 1 species
UACGUAGGGGGCAAGCGUUGUCCGGAUUUAUUGGGCGUAAAGAGCGUGUAGGCGGCCAGUUAGGUCCGUUGUGAAAACUCGAGGCUCAACCUCGAGACGCCGAUGGAAACCAACUGGCUGGAGUCCGGAAGAGGAGAGUGGAAUUCCCGGUGUAGCGGUGAAAUGCGUAGAUAUCUGGAGGAAUACCGGUGGCGAAGGCGGCAUCCUGGACCGAGAUUGACACUGAUGAGCGAAAGCCAGGGGAGCAAACGGG